UUAAGGCCACACCGCUGCACACAUUUCUUUUCCUUCGCAACGCAGCUGUAGACAAGUUCACUUUUCUUGCGCUCCUGAAAAGAAUAAAUACAUAAAAAUGAUUGUGAGGUAUUGGUGAACAUGUUAAAAGCUGCGGCUUGGAAAAUAAAUUGAAAAUGUGUUGCAUCAGGCUGUGAUGCACUGAAAAACCACGCGCACGUGUUGCCUGGAUUAGUAAGCCGGGAAUAUCCACGUGUUGGCGCAUAUUUGGGUCUGUUCACCAUGCUUGAGCUGCGUUUACAGACCAUAGACGAGUGCGGUCCUAUCUGUGGAAAGAGAUAGAGCCGGUUCAUCAAGCUGAUCUUUAACUAUGCCGCAAAUUUAAAUGGAUCUGUUGAGAAAUGUAUGUCCUUGCUGCUCCCAAGCAUUAUAAACCCGGCCAGAUUGGAAGUGAACUUUAAUUAACUCCCCUCAGCUUUACUUGGCUGGCUGGCAAAAACAAUUCUGGAAAUAGAUAAAAACUGCGCCAGUCAAAUGUCUCGAAAAUGAUUUCAAAGUCUUGUACAAAACAAAUUUGAAUAAAAAUGCUGCUUGAUAUUUUUUAUAAUAACGUGAUAUAAUUUAUUUUGCAUUUCAUAUCAUAGACAUUUACCUUUUUUGUUUGGGUUAUUUGUAACGCUACAAAUCUUGUCGCAUUUGGGUCAUGCCCUUUUUAUAUAUAUAAGAAUAAUUUUGCUUGUAAAUGUUUUGAAUUUAAUAUGUUUUGGUAUUUGU